rnacentral:rRNA from 1 species
CUACGGGCGGCAGCAGUCGAGAAUAUUCGACAAUGGGCGAAAGCCUGAUCGAGCGACGCCGCGUGCGGGAAGAAGGCCCUCGGGUUGUAAACCGCUUUUGCCAGGGAAAAAAUUUGAUUGUACCUGGCGAAUAAGGAGCUCCUAACUUCGUGCCAGCAGGAGCGGUAAUACGAAGGCUCCAAGCGUUAUCCGGAAUUACUGGGCGUAAAGAGCGAGUAGCCGGUUUUGAUAGUCCGAUGUUAAAUCCUACUGCUUAACGGUGGGGCCGCAUUGGAAACGUCAAGACUGGAGCGGGUGAGAGGCAAGCGGAACGUGCGGUGUAGGGGUGAAAUCCGUUGAUAUCGCACGGAACACCAAAAGCGAAAGCAGCUUGCUAGCACUUUGCUGACGGUCAAUCGCGAAAGCGUGGGGAUCAAAAAGGAUUAGAUACCCGGGUAGUC